GGUGGCUCAGUGGUAGAGCACUUGCCUUGCAAGCAUGAGGCCCUGGGUUCAAUUCCUCAGCACCA
rfam:Dipodomys ordii contig_59161, whole genome shotgun sequence.